rnacentral:tRNA from 1 species
GGGUAGUCUGGAUAUCCUUCCGGCCUUCGGAGCCGGGGACGUGGGUUCGAAUCCUGCA